CAGUCGCCGCGGUAAUACGAAGGGUGCAAGCGUUACUCGGAAUUACUGGGCGUAAAGCGUGCGUAGGUGGUGGUUUAAGUCCGUUGUGAAAUCCCCGGGCUCAACCUGGGAAUGGCAAUGGAUACUGGCAAGCUAGAGUGUGUCAGAGGAUGGUGGAAUUCCCGGUGUAGCGGUGAAAUGCGUAGAGAUCGGGAGGAACAUCAGUGGCGAAGGCGGCCAUCUGGGACAACACUGACGCUGAGGCACGAAAGCGUGGGGAGCAAACAGGAUUAGAUACCCCUGUAGUCCCUGUCUCUUAUAC
rnacentral:rRNA from 1 species